rnacentral:lncRNA from 1 species
CACUCCUCUCAGCUGAGGCUCUCCUGGCUUGUUGAAGCAGCUGCCAAGCCUAUGGGUCUGAAAGGAGCCACAGCUGCUGAGCCACGUUGCUAGUUUUAAGCAUCUGGGGCUCUCCAGGGUGAAUGGCUCUGGCCCAUACAAGCUGGGCUCCCGGGACUCGGUUCCCAGGCCCUCUGUGGUGCACCAGAGGAAGAGAGGGAUCCUAGGUGCCAGGGCAAAAAGGGACUUGCUGCCAAAAUUUCUCUGGCCCUCUCCAUCUGUUCUAUCCAUCUACCUGUCCCCUUCCCAGGGGAACGUGGAAGGGACUUUUCCUGCAGCCAUCAGAAGGGACCCAACUCUGGGAAGCCCAAAGGGCAGAUGCCUAAAAACCAGGAGGACACCCACCAUUGGACAACAAUCAAUUUGUCUACUGCAAGGAGAAAGGACACUGGAAAAAUGAAUGCCCCCAUAGACCUUCUACCAAGCCAGGCCAUCUUUGCCUUCAAGUGGAUUGAUCUGACUUCCGAUGAUUCCUGUCAACUCUCCUGGACCUGGCUGCCUCAAGGAUUCAAGAACACACCCACUUGGUUUGGUGAGGCCUUUCAGAAGGACUUGGUACAGGGUUCUGUCUGCACCAGCAUAUGCACUAUGCUACCCUUACCUGGCUCUGUACCCUGCUGCCCAUUCCAUCCAGGAGACACCAUGCUCAUCAAGGCCUUCCAGAAAGAGAGACUCACCCUGCCAUGGAAAGGACCAUACACUGUUGUGCUCAUCCUACUUUUUCUCAGGCUCCUGACUCGGCCCUGUGUUCUUAAUUGGAUAAUUAAGUUUGUAAAACCGCAUAUAGCCUCUGUUAAACUGUUGUACAUGAGAACCUACUAUAAUCCCCUACCUAUUCAGGAGGCUCGAGAUCAGUCAAUGCUUUGACAUCAUACUUGGAGGAGUUGGGAAUGUGAUAGCCAACCUGGCUCCACUUGUGUACCUGACUCCAUUUGUGCAAAGUGAUUCGGGGUGGUCACCUUCCCCUCCCUUCCCCCUUGGGAGUCCCCUCAGUUAAUGCAUAACAUCACCACAUCCGGUGUGAGUCUGCAACUGUAUGUUAUCUUUGUGACCUUUUGGUAGAGCAGUCUGCAACUAUGUUGUCUUUAUUACCUUGUAAGCAGAAGACCCUGCAACAAUGUGACAUUUAUUUUUAAUUAAACUGUGUGAAACUGCCCCUGACCCCCACUGACUUAGCAAAGUUCUGCUCCUGUGAAGUUCUGCUUGUGCUCCCCCUCUCCCUGAGCCCUCCCCAAAUAGAAGCGCCCUUAAAAGAACCCUGCAAACCGCCUUUCCUUUGUCCAGAGCCUUUUUGGCAGGAGCCACUCUGGAAUGCCAGCUAUGAUAAUAAAGGAUUCCAUCUAAUUCAGAGUGUGGCACAUCUCUAUAGUUCCAACUUGCCUGGCCUUACAAUACUGCAAAGUUCCAAAGCCCGCAACCAAUCAGGAAAGGUAUUUUUUUUUCUACACACAUGCAAAUGAUGAAAACCAGACUUAGGAGGGGAGAAACAGAAGCUUGGGAUUGUCUCUUAAAAUAAGAGAUCUUUUCUUUUUCUAAUUUUACAUGCCUCUAUUAGGAAAGGUUAAAGUGGCAGGGAAAGAUCAGAAAUGAGACCAGGAGAAGGAAAUCUUUUUUUUUUUCAUGCUCACAUUGAGUUAUUGAUGCUCAUGAGUCAGCAGUCUCAGCCUGGAAAGGGGAGAAUGCGGAAUCUCAAGAGCUAAGAUUUCCUCCUCACCAGUGGAACAUCAGACCAGUAAGGAAACUGAAGCAGAACAGCCCCAAUAUUUUCUCUAGAGUAUAGAGAAGGAUUGAACCAGAAUGUCUCAGUGAAACCUGUCCCACAAGUCUUAAGAAUGGCUAUUGACUUUUCAUCUUUUAACUGAUGGAUGGGGUCCCAUCAUUUAUUAAUAGGCAUGUAUAUUUCUUAUAAAAGACCUAUUCUACAGCAUUUUUAAGCAACUAAGUCCAAAUGCAACACAAAACAAAAAUAAAACAUAAUUUUAACAAAGGACAAUGCAUCAUAAGAGAAACAAAGAAUUUGUAAAAAUUUAAAACAUACAACUUAAAAUUAAGACAAUUUUGAAGCAAAAGCCAGAAAUCUAUGAAACAAAGUUAGAACCUAUGAAACAAAAACAAACUCUUACCUCUGUCCAAUCUUGCUGGGACCUCCAAAAUGAUAUAGGGCACAAAGUAAUCCAAAAAUGGUAUCCAAAUAAGAAAAAAUAAUCCGAACAAGGGAAAUAUUUUAACUCCCAACCUGCUAAAUAUCUGAAAUGCAAGUUCGUGUUCUCUAAAAUAGAAGAAUGAAUUCUAGAAACAAAGGAGGUUAAGAGUGGGAAAAAUGUAUUGAAAGAUAGCUUCUGUCUAAGAGAGAAAGAAGGGGUACCAGAAAGUGGGUUGCCUGUCCACCCCGCUUUUCAAAGGUGUUUUAUAGGGCAAAGCCAUGAGUUGAGGUGAGGCGAGUCCAAAGUGGAAAAAAACUAUAAGACCUAAUGGAAAAUUACAAGGUGAGUACGAGGUGGUACAAAACUAUGAUCAACUAAAAUUAUUACAAGUAGAGUCAUCCAGGUAAUAUUGAUUAAAUGAGGAUCAAAUGGGAAAACAAGUCACACACAAGAAAUUUCCCAAAAGGGAAUGGGCUAGAGAGAUUGAUGUUUAUUUAGAAUAUUAAUCACUGUAGGGGAAGUAGGUAAGUGUAGUACCUCUUCUCUUUUGAUGAUGCUAACCGGUGAAUGUGCCUCAAUUGUUUUUCUAUGCAGAGGGCUCAGCUUUGUCUAACUGCCUUAUAAUAAUUUCUAAUUAACUUAGCUAUCUACAAUAGUUCAGCUUCUCUUAUUCUCAGUCUCCUUAACUGUAAAAAUAGAUCCUACCACAUGGAACUGGCAUAAGGUUACAAAAAUGCCAGCACAAGACAUUCCAUUUAGUUUGCUGAGUUAAUGGUAAUAAUUAUUAUUAUUAUUAUUUAAUUCAGAAUUUCCCAAAAUUUAUUCCUUGGAAUAUUAAUCUUUUGAACCAACUUGUGCUCCUCCCCCAGAAUUAGUUCUGUGGGAAUACAACUGCAGGAGAACAGAUCCCUAAUGCUCUUAGCUGACCCAAAUGCCCCUCUCCCAUUCAUUCCUCAGACUAACAAACUUGCAGCAUUCUGAGAUAGGGAGGUAAUGUCCAGAACAAUCAGAAUUGUGUCCUUAUUCUUCCCAGAACAGGAUAUACUACAAUGCUUGAUCUCAACUGAUCCCAGUGAUGCCAGGGCAUAAAACCAAGAGCAGAGUGCACUCAGGGUUCCUCAUCUCAGUGGUAUGUGGGGCAUAACUCCAUUAACCCUGGGCAGCUUUCUUAAGCCUUGGAGAACUAGUUUGCCAUGAUUCCUAUGCUUCUGUUUAUUUUUGAUCCUAAUCUGUGAGUAGCAAGUCUGCUUUGCCUGAUUAGUUGCAUCAAUAUUGUGUCUGCAUGUGUACAAAUGGUAGUGAAUCUUUGCGACAACUUUUGGAAAUAUGUAAGAUAUGUCCUUUUUGGAUAAAAUGCUCAAAUAUAUUUGUGUAUCAAAUGUUUG